rnacentral:rRNA from 1 species
CAGCAGCCGCGGGAAAACGGGGGGGGCGAGCGUUGUCCGAAGUUACUGGGCGUAAAGCGCGUGUAGGCGGGUUGUUAAGUCCGCUGUGAAAGCCCGGUGCUCAACGCCGGAGGGUCGGUGGAUACUGGCAGUCUUGAAGUGGCUAGGGGGAAAUGGAAUUACCGGUGUAGCGGUGAAAUGCGUAGAUACCGGUAGGAACACCAGUGGCGAAGGCGGUUUCCUGGAGCCCACUUGACGCUGAGACGCGAAAGCUGGGGGAGCAAACGGGAUUAGAUACCCCCGUAGUCCCUGUCUCUUAUAC